UACGUAGGGUGCAAGCGUUAAUCGGAAUUACUGGGCGUAAAGCGUGCGCAGGCGGUUUGCUAAGACAGGUGUGAAAUCCCCGGGCUUAACCUGGGAACUGCGCUUGUAACUGGCAAGCUUGAGUGUGGCAGAGGGGGGUGGAAUUCCGACGUUGUAGCAGUGAAAUGCGUAGAGAUGUGGAGGAACACCGAUGGCGAAGGCAGCCCCCUGGGCUAACACUGACGCUCAUGCACGAAAGCGUGGGGAGCAACAGG
rnacentral:rRNA from 1 species